rnacentral:rRNA from 1 species
GUCUACGGCCAUACUACCCUGAACAAGCCCAAUCCCAUCUGAUCUCGGAAGCUAAGCAGGGUCGGGCCUGGUUAGUACUUGGAUAGGAGACCACCUAGGAAGACCAAGUGCUAUAGGCA